UUUCUUUCUCUCUCUCUCUCUCUCUAGGAGGAGCUCUUGAGAUGCCAUUGUUAUGCCCAAACCUUAUCAGUCACAGCUCACAAGAAUGAAAGUUUAGAGCUAAAAGGUUGAAGUGGAUUAAGUUAGAAGUAGAAGGCUUUGGUAAAUAAUCCUUUCUAGAGCUGAUAAAGGGUCAUUUUCUUUACUUUAUAAAUACACACACCUCUUUCGCUACCUUACUUCCAUUUCUUCUUCUCCUCCUCCCCUAAUCUUUGAGGGAUACAAAGGCUGUGUGGAGAGAUUUCUUUUUGUUCUGUGUUUGAAAGUUCCUUCUCCAACCAGCUCUUUUCCCUAUCAGGUAAGGUGCAAAUAAGAAGAGAGGAUGUCAGACUCACCUCAGAGGAAGAUGGGAAGAGGAAAGAUUGAGAUUAAGAGGAUCGAAAAUACAACAAAUCGUCAAGUCACUUUCUGUAAGAGACGAAAUGGGCUGCUCAAAAAAGCUUAUGAACUUUCUGUUCUCUGUGAUGCCGAAGUUGCUCUCAUCGUUUUCUCAAGCCGCGGCCGCCUCUAUGAGUAUGCUAACAACAGUGUGAAGGCAACCAUUGAUAGAUACAAGAAGGCAUCCUCGGAUUCCUCAAACACUGGAUCUACUUCUGAAGCUAACACUCAGUUUUACCAACAAGAAGCUGCCAAACUUCGAGUUCAGAUUGGUAACUUGCAGAAUUCAAACAGGAACAUGCUGGGUGAGUCUCUAAGUUCUUUGAGUGUAAAAGAUCUGAAAAGCCUCGAGAGCAAACUUGAGAAAGGAAUCAGCAGGAUUAGGUCCAAAAAGAAUGAACUCCUCUUUGCUGAAAUUGAGUAUAUGCGGAAAAGGGAAAUUGAUUUGCACAACAACAAUCAGCUGCUUCGAGCAAAGAUUGCUGAGAGUGAAAGAAAUGCCAACAUGAUGGGAGGAGAAUUCGAGCUGAUGCAAUCUCAUCCCUACGAUCCCCGAGACUUCUUCCAAGUGAACGGCUUACAACAUAAUCACCAGUAUCCACGCCAAGACAACAUGGCUCUUCAAUUAGUUUAAGUUAAUAAUAGUAUGGUUUGAAGCUCUCUGGUUGGUGGAUUAUACGGAGCGCCCAAUCUCUGCUGAUUGAAAGGUACUUGAAAGGAACUUGAAGAUCAUACCUCAUCUAUGCCUUACCAAAGUCUUAGCUUCUGGACUCUAAAAAAAGACAUAUUCCAAUAUAUAAAUAUAUAUAUAUGUAUGUAUGUAAUGUUGUUGUCUGGUAUGCAUCCAAAACAUUAAUAACCUAUCUUAUCUUUGUGUUUAAAUCUAUGUCUGUCAUACAAACAACUAACAUAUUGUCUCAUACUUCUGUCUUGUUUUCUGUUUCACGGUCUCAGCUUUCUGUGA